rnacentral:rRNA from 1 species
GACGAACGCUGGCGGCGUGCUUAACACAUGCAAGUCGAACGGAAAGGCCCUGCUUUUGUGGGGUGCUCGAGUUGCGAACGGGUGAGUAACACGUGAGUAACCUGUCCCUGACUUUGGGAUAACUUCAGGAAACUGGGGCUAUUACCGCAUAGGAUCUCUUGCUGCAUGGUGGGGGUUGGAAAGUUUCGGUGGUUGGGGAUGGACUCGCGGCUUAUCAGCUUGUUGGUGGGGUAGUGGCUUACCAAGGCUUUGACGGGUAGCCGGCCUGGGAGGGUGACCGGCCACGUUGGGACUGAGGUACGGCCCAGACUCGUACGGGAGGCAGGAGUGGGGAAUAUUACACAAUGGGCGGGAGGCUGAUGCGGCAACGCCGCGUGCGGGAUGACGGCCUUCGGGUUGUAAACCGAUUUCGCCUGUGACGAAGCGUGAGUGACGGUAAUGGGUAAAGAAGCACCGGCUAACUACGUG